UACAGAGGGUGCAAGCGUUAAUCGGAAUUACUGGGCGUAAAGCGUGCGUAGACGGUAGCGUAAGUCGGGUGUGAAAGCCCCGGGCUCAACCUGGGAAUGGCAAUGGAUACUGGCAAGCUAGAGUGCGGUAGAGGGUAGUGGAAUUCCCGGUGUAGCGGUGAAAUGCGUAGAUAUCGGAAGGAACAUCAGUGGCGAAAGCGGCUUCCUGGUCCAGCACCGACGUUCAGGCACGAAAGCGUGGGGAGCAAACAGG
rnacentral:rRNA from 1 species